UCUUCCGUAGUAUAGUGGUCAGUAUGUGAGCUUGUCAUUGAAGGGUCCUCCCCUCAAAACAACGCUCGAGACCCGGGUUCAAUUCCCGGCGGGAGAG